CCGGCAGAGGGCUCCGCGAAGACAGUGCCGUCGUUGGGCGCGCGCGCGGGCGGGAGCUGUCGGGGCGGGGCGGCACCGCCGAGCUCCGAGCUGGGAUUGGGGAGCACGUUUUGCGUCUUGCUGUGCGUGAGGAAGCGGGGAUCCAGGUCAAGGCUAUGGAAAGGCAGGACUUUGAAAUGACCCUGUCCUCAGCCUGGAGGAUGCGGUAUUCUGAUUGUCUGGUGCUGUGUCAACUGGGCCUGCCUCUGGGAUAGUGUUGUGGCUGCCCCACGAGAACCCUAUAUGCCAGGUCCAGAAGCAAAAACAAAAAAAGUUCGGGUACAGCGGCUCACACCUGUAAUCCCAGCUCUUAGGGAGAUGGAAACUGGAGGAUCACUUGAGGCCAGGAGUUCAAGACCAGCCUGGGCAACAUAGCAAGACCCAGUCUCUUAAAAGAAAAUUAAAAAGAAAGAGUAAAUAAAGUUCCAGAAGCUUUGCUCUCCUUAU
rnacentral:lncRNA from 10 species